CAUGCAAGUCGCGGGGGGUGAGCAAUCACUCACCGGCGAACGGGUGCGUAACACGUGAGCGACCUGCCCACUUGUGGGGUAUAGCCGGCCCAACGGCCGGGUAAUCCCGCAUACGCUUCUCUGGCUGCAUGGCCGGGGGAGGAAAGCCGUAAGGCGCAAGUGGAGGGGCUCGCGGCCUAUCAGCUAGUUGGCGGGGUAACGGCCCACCAAGGCGAUGACGGGUAGCUGGUCUGAGAGGAUGGCCAGCCACAUUGGGACUGAGAUACGGCCCAGACUCCUACGGGAGGCAGCAGUGGGGAAUCUUGCGCAAUGGUCGAAAGACUGACGCAGCGACGCCGCGUGCGGGAGGAAGCCCUUCGGGGUGUAAACCGCUGUUACUCGGGACGAACUUCCCGAUUUGUCGGGAUUGACGGUACCGGGGGAGGAAGCACCGGCUAACUCUGUGCCAGCAGCCGCGGUAAUACAGAGGGUGCGAGCGUUGUCCGGAAUCACUGGGCGUAAAGGGCGCGUAGGCGGCUUCUCACGCGUGCGGUGAAAGCCCGGGGCUUAACUCCGGGUCUGCCGUGCGAACGGGGAGGCUUGAGUCUGGUAGAGGUCGAUGGAAUUCCGGGUGUAGCGGUGGAAUGCGUAGAGAUCCGGAAGAACACCGGUGGCGAAGGCGGUCGACUGGGCCAGAACUGACGCUGAGGCGCGACAGCGUGGGGAGCAAACAGGAUUAGAUACCCUGGUAGUCCACGCCGUAAACGAUGGGCACUAGGUCCUUGGGGGAGCGACCCCGUGAGGGCCGGCGCUAACGCAUUAAGUGCCCCGCCUGGGGAGUACGGCCGCAAGGCUGAAACUCAAAGGAA
rnacentral:rRNA from 1 species